CCUACGGGAGGCAGCAGUGGGGAAUAUUGGGCAAUGGAGGCAACUCUGACCCAGCAAUGCCGCGUGAAUGAAGAAGGUCUUCGGAUUGUAAAGUUCUGUAAUUGGGGACGAAAAUAAUGACGGUACCCAAGGAAUAAGCCCCGGCUAACUACGCGCCAGCAGCCGCGGUACUACGUAGGGGGCAAGCGUUGUUGGGAAUGACUGGGCGUAAAGGGUGUGUAAGCAGUGUAGCAAAUUAGAAGUGAAAUACCUAGGGCUUAACUCAGGUGCUGCUUCUAAAACUGUGAUACUUGAUUGCAGUAGAGGAAAGUGGAAUUCCUAGUGUAGCGGUGGAAUGCGUAGAUAUUAGGAGGAACAUCAGUGGCGAAGGCGACUUUCUGGACUGUAACUGACGCUGAGGCACGAAAGUGUGGGGAGCAAACAGGAUUAGAUACCCUGGUAGUC
rnacentral:rRNA from 1 species